rnacentral:rRNA from 1 species
GAUGAACGCUGGCGGCGUGCUUAACACAUGCAAGUCGAACGAAGCACUCUAUUUGAUUUUCUUCGGAAAUGAAGAUUUUGUGACUGAGUGGCGGACGGGUGAGUAACGCGUGGGUAACCUGCCUCAUACAGGGGGAUAACAGUUGGAAACGACUGCUAAUACCGCAUAAGCGCACAGGAUUGCAUGAUCCGGUGUGAAAAACUCCGGUGGUAUGAGAUGGACCCGCGUCUGAUUAGCCAGUUGGCAGGGUAACGGCCUACCAAAGCGACGAUCAGUAGCCGACCUGAGAGGGUGACCGGCCACAUUGGGACUGAGACACGGCCCAAACUCCUACGGGAGGCAGCAGUGGGGAAUAUUGCACAAUGGGGGAAACCCUGAUGCAGCGACGCCGCGUGAGCGAAGAAGUAUUUCGGUAUGUAAAGCUCUAUCAGCAGGGAAGAAGAAUGACG